AGCAGCCGCGGUAAUUCCAGCUCCAAUAGCGUAUAUUAAAGUUGUUGCAGUUAAAAAGCUCGUAGUUGAAUUUCGGGGUUAGUAGGUUGGUCAUGCCUCUGGUAUGUACUGGUCUCACUGAUUCCUCCUUCCUGAUGAGCCGUAAUGCCAUUAAUUUGGUGUUGCGGGGAAUUUGGACUGUUACUUUGAAAAAAUUAGAGUGUUUAAAGCAAGCUAACGCUUGAAUACAUUAGCAUGGAAUAAUGAAAUAGGACGUUCGAUCCUAUUUUGUUGGUUUCUAGGAUUGACGUAAUGAUUAAUAGGGAUAGUUGGGGGCAUUAGUAUUCAAUUGUCAGAGGUGAAAUUCUUGGAUUUAUUGAAGACUAACUACUGCGAAAGCAUUUGCCAAGGAUGUUUUCAUUAAUCAAGAACGAAAGUUAGGGGAUCGAAGACGAUCAGAUACCGUCGUAGUCUUAACCAUAAACUAUGCCGACUAGGGAUCGGAUGAUGUAAUUUUUAAUGACUCAUUCGGCGCCUUAAC
rnacentral:rRNA from 1 species